CCUAAGGUUUCAAUAAAGGAGCUCAAGUGUAGUACCUUUCCAUAGUUCACCUGGAGAAUGGACAUAUGAAUCAUUUAUGUUAUAAAUAUGUCUUGCAGAAAGGCUUUGCUACCUCCACUCCAGAAAUCAAUGAGGUUAGGUUAGAUUUUUACAGUCCCUGCACAUGCAUUCAUGAAUGAAACACUUAAUUUUAUGUUAAUAAGUUCUGAAGGAACAUUCAUCUAUAAUAUAUUUCUUCCCUUUAACUCCCACACAAAAUUCAGAAAGAACAUUCCUCCUAUAGUUUUUUUUCAUUUUGGGUAUAUUUCUUAUGAAUCAUUCAUUAAUUUCUAUUACUAUGGUGCAAUUUUUUUCCUAUUAAUUCUCAUUAUUCAAAAUAUGCCAUGAUGGAAUGUUUGUAAAUUAUACUAAACACAUUCAUAAUGUGUGCUAUGUUAAUGGUAGAAGUGAAUUAUAUAAAAGAAACAUACACUUCAGUGUUUUAUUCUGUUCAGAAGCAACUCACUAACCUGUUUUGGCUAGCUCUAAAUAUUCACAUUAAUGACUUGGGUGUAUUUUAAGUGGAAAACUGGAACACUGGCCAUUAUAGCUGGGAGGCAGGGUGGAAAUGGAGAAGAAGUUGAGUAUCCUAUGUAUUCCUUUCCUUUCCAGAGCUACAUAUUUUCCCCUCACAUGGAAUAUAAACCGAGGCAUGUUUAGAGCUGAUUGAUAAAAGAAACCAAAUUUUACAGAAGUUUUUUUUAGGUUUUUUUCUGUUUUUUU